rnacentral:rRNA from 1 species
AUUGAACGCUGGCGGCAGGCCUAACACAUGCAAGUCGAACGGAGCGGCGGACGCGUGAGUAAUGCCUAGGAAUCUGCCUGGUAGUGGGGGAUAGCGUCAGGAAACGGGCACUGUUACCGCAAACUAUAAGCUGCGGCUAGGUCGGAUUAGCUAGUGGGUGGGGUAAAGGCAUACCAAGGCGACGAUCCGUAACUGGUCUGAGAGGAUGAUCAGUCACACUGGAACUGAGACACGGUCCAGACUCCUACGGGAGGCAGCAGUGGGGAAUAUUGGACAAUGGGCGAAAGCCUGAUCCAGCCAUGCCGCGUGUGUGAAGAAGGUCUUCGGAUUGUAAAGCACUUUAAGUUGGGAGGCGUUACCAACAGAAUAAGCACCGGCUAACUUCGUGCCAGCAGCCGCGGUAAUUC